GAUGAACGCUGGCGGCGUGCUUAACACAUGCAAGUCGAACGAGUGGCGGACGGGUGAGUAAUGCUUGGGAAUCUGCCUCAUGGAGGGGGAUAACGACUGGAAAAUGUCGCUAAUACCGCAUACCCUAGGAGGUGGCCAAGUGGGAUGGGGUAGUGGGUGGGGGAAUGGCCUACCAAGCCGAUGAUCUCUAGCUGGUCUGAGAGGAUGACAGGCCACACAGGGACUGAGACACGGCCCAGAUUCCUACGGGAGGCAGCAGUGGGGAAUAUUGCGCAAGGGGGGCAACCCUGACGCAGCCAUGCCGCGUGAAUGAAGAAGGCCUUCGGGUUGUAAAGUGCUUUCAGCGACGAGGCGUUACUCGCAGAGGAAGCACCGGCUAACUCCGUGCCAGCAGCCGCGGUAAUUC
rnacentral:rRNA from 1 species